CAUGAGGUCCAGUUCUCGGGCAGUGCUCUCGUCGUCCCUGUACAUUGCCAAUGGUGCAAGGUGCUUCGUGGUGAGUGAGGACAGCCCUCUGCGACAGGCAACGAGGGGAGAAAGUGAGGGAAAGAGCUGAGCUCCAGAGUGCUUCAAUCUGGCAUCUGUUUCAAUGGAAGAAAAAGAAAACCAUUGUGGUUAACCGUGAAUGAAGUAUAACAGGAAAGAUACAAGAUACUGGAAAUCUGAAACAAAAACAGAAAAUGCUGGUAAUCUCACAGAACUAGAAGCCUUUUGCAA